rnacentral:rRNA from 1 species
UACGGAGGGUGCGAGCGUUGUCCGGAAUCACUGGGCGUAAAGGGCGCGUAGGCGGCGCGGGAAGUCCGUGGUGAAAGCCCGAGGCUCAACUUCGGGUCGGCCCAUGGGAUACUCCUGGGCUCGAGCACUGUAGAGGCAGGUGGAAUUCCGGGUGUAGCGGUGGGAAUGCGUAGAGAUCCGGAAGAACACCGGUGGCGAAGGCGGCC